UUGGUUGCUUUAUUGGUGACCAUGAAAUACUCGUAUUAAUGACCCGUGUGUACAUGGCAAACAAGAACUUGAGGUAUGUGACUGAGAUAUUUGACAAUCUUUUAUAUUGCAGAGCAUAACUAGCAAGGAUAUAUGGUCUAAAACGGGUUCAAGUAAUAGGGUUGCAAACAAGCCGAGCCAAGCACAAGCUCAUAUAAGUUAUGAAAGCUCGAGCUCAGUUUGAUUCAAGCUUUGUUUCUAAAGCUCAAGCUCGGCUGCUAGGUAAUUUUUCAAACUCGAGCUCGAUAAACGAAUUUCGGGCUUGGGCUUAUUUAUUAAAUAAGCUUGCUUUUAGGCUUGGGCUCAAGCCAUAUGGUUUAUUUUCUACAAUUCAAGAUUGUAUUGGUGCAUCCAUCGCAUGGCCCUAUCCAUUCAUCUCGGUAGUCCAUGAGGAUUGAGGACGCAUGAUGACUCAAGAUUUUAUGCUUCUUAUUUCUUUAAUUGCUUUUAAUUUCUUUGUUAAAUGUUAAGACUUUAUGUUAGAUAAUGUUAUAACUUAUUUAUGGUUAGUGUUUUUGUUAUGAACAUGCUUAUUUGAAAUAUAA